rnacentral:lncRNA from 1 species
CCAAUCUGGUAAACGGAGACUGUGAAAGGGAUUACCUGAAGUGUUACAGAGGAAUAAACUAAAGCUCUGGGAGGCACAGGCCCUAUCUGCUUCGUGUCUGGGGACACUCCAUGAGGUGGGGACACCCUAGGAAAGCCUCUGGUCCUCUGCUGGUCCCUCCGGUCCUGGGUCUGGAGUUUCCCUGAGAGAGGAUGAGAGAAGACGAGGAGGCCGUCACAGCCGACACCGUGGGGAGGAGGCGUGUAGAUCCUAGAACUGAACUAGUUGAGCAACUCAUCUCUGACCUGCUCUGCUGGCCUGGAGAAAUGAAUACACUGAGGCCUCUCCCCUGCCCCUUCACGACUUACCUGAGGCUUCCAUCUGUUCAGUCUUGAUUUAUCAGGCUGCCUGCUGGUCCUCUCUACUCCGACGUCUUACAACCUCCUGGGCAACAUGUCUCAAAAGGAACCCAUCAUCCACUUCUCCUCCACCUGCUCCCCAGCUGCUGCUCCUUCUGAGUCUCUCUCCUCCAGAAUGACACCACCAUCUGCCUGGCUGCCCGAGUGGGAAACACAGAUGCAUUGGGACUCUUCCUGUCUCUCUCGGCCACCACGCCAGAAGUGGCUUCUUCUGUGAUGUCUCCCGUUAGCUGUCUUCCCGCCAUCCCUGCUGCCACUCCCCCUCCCAACUCCCCACACCCCCACCCCGCCUUGUUGCAAGAGCCUCCUAGCUAUUCUUCCUAACUUGAUCCUCUCCCCUCAAAUCCUUUCUAACAUGCAAAUAUAUUAUGUCGUUUUCUAGCAUAAAGCUCUUCC